rnacentral:rRNA from 1 species
AUUUGAACGGCUACACCCAAAAUUAUAUCUUAAUCCAACAUCGAGGUCGCAAUCUUUUUUAUCGAUAUGAACUCUCCAAAAAAAUUACGCUGUUAUCCCUAAAGUAACUUAAAUUUUUAAUCAUUAUUAAUGGAUCAAUUAUUCAUAAAUUAAUGGUUUUAAAAAUUAAAAGUUUUUUAAAUUUUAAUAUCACCCCAAUAAAAUAUUUUAAUUUAUUAUAAUAAAAAUAAUCUUUAUAAUUAAAAUAAACAAAAUAUAAAGAUUUAUAGGGUCUUCUCGUCUUUUAAAUUAAUUUUAGCUUUUUGACUAAAAAAUAAAAUUCUAUAAAAAAUUUAAAUGAAACAGUUAAUAUUUCGUCCAACCAUUCAUUCCAGCCUUCAAUUAAAAGACUAAUGAUUAUGCUACCUUUGCACAGUUAGAAUACUGCGGCCAUUUAAAAUUUUCAGUGGGCAGGUUAGACUUUAAAUUUAAUUCAAAAAGAC